AACGAACGCUGGCGGCGCGCCUAAUACAUGCAAGUCGAGCGAGAAGACGUAGCAAUACGUUUGUAAAGCGGCGAACGGGUGAGGAAUACAUGGGUAACCUACCCUCGAGUGGGGAAUAACUAGCCGAAGGUUAGCUAAUACCGCGUACGCUCCUUGGACUUCGGUUCAGGGAGGAAAGCGAUACCGUGGGUAUCGCGCUCUUGGAUGGGCUCAUGUCCUAUCAGCUUGUUGGUGAGGAACGGCUCACCAAGGCUUCGACGGGUAGCUGGUCUGAGAGGACAAUCAGCCACACUGGCACUGCGACACGGGCCAGACUCCUACGGGAGGCAGCAGUAAGGAAUAUUGCGCAAUGGGCGAAAGCCUGACGCAGCGACGCCGCGUGGGGGAGUGAA
rnacentral:rRNA from 1 species